AAAGUAAACAUAAAGUCACUUUAUCAUUCUGAUAGCACAUUAAUGUACAUUUAUUUUCAAAAUAGUCUUCUUAUGUGGUAUCACACGUUGACUUUUCUAUGAUACUAUGAGGAUUAAAUAACUGACAACUUUACAGAGUACUAUAAUGUGUCACAGCAUUAAAAAUAUUUGUGUACAAAGUAUUGGAUUUCUAGUUUUCUCGCAUUUUAUAAGUGCGCAAACGCCUCCUAGCACUUGGAGUGGCUUCAGCGGUCCUUCGCAUGCAGGGCCUGCGGCUGUAGUGGCAGAAGCGGAGAAAAAUAAAUUUACGAUCCCCACGUCCACCAAGAAAUAUACUUUGCAAAAUUAUCUAGCUCCGCGCGCAACUUUCAACGAGAGCUGCUAUUAUUUUGCUCAUUACUGUCUUAGAGCUUAUAUGUGUGUAUGAUUCAAUAUUAUAUAUCACAGGACCGGUAUGUGGUCGCACUUUGCUUUACACGUAUUACACAUUCAAAAACUAUUGUCUAUUAGAUUAUGCCAAUUGCAUGGACAGAUACGAAGUAUGGCAGAUCGCCUAUAUGGGAAGAUGUUUUAAUAUCACAGAAUUGACGGAAUAUUUACUAUACCCCUACGACAACGAUCAUUUUCUGGACGAAUAUUACAUGGUGGAAGAUCAUUGACGAAGAACAAUCACCAACUAAAACGAGUGUCUCAUAAAUUGUUUUGGACUAGUUUCGAUAUAUUUUUUAUAGAACGAUUUGAGUUAUUCACUUUUUAAAA